rnacentral:rRNA from 1 species
GUCGAGAAUCUUUCACAAUGGGGGCAACCCUGAUGGAGCGACGCCGCGUGGAGGAUAAGGUCUUCGGAUUGUAAACUCCUGUCAUGCGUGAACAAGGUUGCUUGGUUAAUACCUGGGCAAAUUGAUGGUAACGCAAGAGGAAGAGACGGCUAACUCUGUGCCAGCAGCCGCGGUAAUACAGAGGUCUCAAGCGUUGUUCGGAAUCACUGGGCGUAAAGGGUGCGUAGGUGGCGUGGUAAGUCAGAUGUGAAAGCCCGGGGCUCAAACUCGGAACUGCAUCCGAUACUGCCAUGCUAGAGUACUGGAGAGGUGACUAGAAUUCUCGGUGUAGCAGUGAAAUGCGUAGAUAUCGAGAGGAAUACCAAAGGCAUAGGCAGGUCACUGGACAGUUACUGACACUGAGGCACGAAGGCCAGGGGAGCGAACGGGAUUAGAAACCCCGGUAGUCC